UGACGCUGGUUCCAUGCCUUACACUUGCAAGUCGUACCGAGGCAGCCGUAAGGCAUGCUGACGAGUGGCGUAACGGGUGAGUAAUACAUCGGAACGUGCCCGAUCGUGGGGGAUAACGAGGCGAAAGCUUUGCUAAUACCGCAUACGAUCUACGGAUGAAAGCGGGGGAUCUUCGGACCUCGCGCGGACGGAGCGGCCGAUGGCAGAUUAGGUAGUUGGUGGGAUAAAAGCUUACCAAGCCGACGAUCUGUAGCUGGUCUGAGAGGAUGAUCAGCCACACUGGGACUGAGACACGGCCCAGACUCCUACGGGAGGCAGCAGUGGGGAAUUUUGGACAAUGGGCGAAAGCCUGAUCCAGCCAUGCCGCGUGCAGGAUGAAGGCCUUCGGGUUGUAAACUGCUUUUGUACGGAACGAAAAGCCUCUUUCUAAUAAAGAGGGGUCAUGACGGUACCGUAAGAAUAAGCACCGGCUAACUACGUGCCAG
rnacentral:rRNA from 1 species